rnacentral:rRNA from 1 species
AUUGAACGCUGGCGGCAGGCUUAACACAUGCAAGUCGAACGAGUGGCGGACGGGUGAGUAAUGCUUGGGAAUCUAGCUUAUGGAGGGGGAUAACUACGGGAAACCGUAGCUAAUACCGCGUACCAUAGGAUGAGCCCAAGUGGGAGUAGGUAGUUGGUGAGGUAAAGGCUCACCAAGCCGACGAUCUCUAGCUGGUCUGAGAGGAUGACCAGCCACUCUGGGACUGAUACACGGCCCCGACUCCGACGGGAGGCAGCAGGGGGGAAUAUUGCGCACGGGGGGCAACCUGACGCAGCCAUGCCGCGUGCAUGAAGAAGGCCGUCGGGUUGUAAAGUUCUUUCGGUAGCGAGGCGUUAACUACAGAAGAAGCACCGGCUAACUCCGUGCCAGCAGCCGCGGUAAUAC